rnacentral:rRNA from 1 species
GACGAACGCUGGCGGCGUGCCUAAUACAUGCAAGUCGAGCGGAAGUUGAAGAGCUUGCUCUUCAACUUUAGCGGCGGACGGGUGAGUAACACGUGGGCAACCUGCCCUGCAGAUCGGGAUAACUCCGGGAAACCGGUGCUAAUACCGAAUAGUUUUCGCCACCUCCUGGUGGCGUACGGAAAGACGGUUUCGGCUGUCACUGCAGGAUGGGCCCGCGGCGCAUUAGCUAGUUGGUGGGGUAACGGCCCACCAAGGCGACGAUGCGUAGCCGACCUGAGAGGGUGAUCGGCCACACUGGGACUGAGACACGGCCCAGACUCCUACGGGAGGCAGCAGUAGGGAAUCUUCCGCAAUGGACGAAAGUCUGACGGGGCAACGCCGCGUGAGUGACGAAGGUUUUCGGAUCGUAAAACUCUGUUGUGAGGGAAGAACAAGUACCAACUAACUACUGGUACCUUGACGGAACCUCACCAGAAAGCCACGGCUAACUACGUGCCAGCAGCCGCCGUAACAC